UACGAAGGGGGCUAGCGUUGCUCGGAAUCACUGGGCGUAAAGGGCGCGUAGGCGGCCAUUCAAGUCGGGGGUGAAAGCCUGUGGCUCAACCACAGAAUUGCCUUCGAUACUGUUUGGCUUGAGACCGGAAGAGGUUAGUGGAACUGCGAGUGUAGAGGUGAAAUUCGUAGAUAUUCGCAAGAACACCAGUGGCGAAGGCGGCUAACUGGUCCGGCUCUGACGCUGAGGCGCGAAAGCGUGGGGAGCAAACAGG
rnacentral:rRNA from 1 species